UUGUAUGAGUAUCUAUUCUACGGAUUCAUUAAUAAUAUAGAUCAUUCAAGGAUACAUCAUCUUUGACCCUCAAGACUCAACAAUAUCCCCCAACUACGUUGCCUCAGUCGCAGCAAACAAAAAGAAAGCGGAAAUCCCCUAAUGGAUAGUCCUUCGGACCUGUCUUAUGGCGCCUUCGGACGGUCACAUAUUCUAUUUUUUCUCUAGUUCAUCAAAUUUCAUGGAUCCGUAGUUAGGAUCCAUAAGACUGAAUAUGGAUUUCUCAAUCGCAUAUUUCAUUGCGCCUCCGUAGCUUAAUAUGAUUUGCUCAAAUAUGCGUUCCAAAAAAAAGAAAGAAUGAAAACUUUGAAUAUUGCGUUGCGUGGAAAUGGAAAUAAUAUCCGCGCGUAGGAUGAAUGAAUAUGAGAAGAAUAUUGACAAGCGCAUUUAUCUAAGAAGAGAAAACGAGUCAAGAGGACGGAGUGCAAGGAUGAAAUCCCGUCCUCAGUCCUAUCCAUAUUAACCUGUUCAUAUAUAGACCCCUCCGCUAGGCUCAAAGAAGAUUUCUCAAAAGUCUGAUUAAAUAGCCGAUAAAAAAGCAGUGAAAUAACUGAAAUAAGCGGUCUACAAUAUAAUAUCCCCCUUUCUUAUGGAGCCUAACUACGGGGGGGGGAUCGAGAAAAUCAGACUCCAAGGGAGAGGUCAGACCAGAGAAUUCUAUUUGGUAUCGGGUGGGCUACUCUUUGUGCUUAUGUUACCAAGGAGCACAAGAGCCCUUACGUUUGGGGACAGUAAUCACUUCAAGAAAAAGGGUCGGGUAGAACAACUUCUUAGGGGAAGCUUUUUCUAUGAAGGAAGAGAAAGAAGAAAAGACGAAGCAAAGAAGCGGAGCGGUAAAGAUCUCUGGCCAGAACCUGAUAGGGCUAGCUUAGCUGCCAGAGGGAUUGGAUUCUCUCUUUAUUGUAUAUCAAGAGAACGUAGAAAUCCUUCUUUCUAGUACGCUCCCAGAAUGAGCCCAAGCCCAGAGAAUGAAAGGUGCUCCUUUUCUCUAUUCUAUAGAUAUAAGAAAGCAGCUAAUUGCUAGCUCUCUUCCUUUGGUGCGAGUGAGGGACUAACCGCCUUACCUCUGCUCACUCCGGAACUAAAGAAAGCCUACCAAAGAAGAUUGAUUGCUAAGCCAGAAAGAGAAAGAAAGCCUACCAAGAAAUCGAUCAGUCCCUAGGGUUAACAAAUUAGUAAGUUCAUGUGUCAUGUAAAUUACUCAAGGGUGUGUAGUAAGACACCCAUCCGCAGCUCAAUAUUCUUUGAACCUCACCUUGACUAGACACUCAGCGCAUCAUGACUCAAAGUAGUACUAAUUUUGAGGGAAGAAAAAAAGGCGAGAGAUAUUAUCGAGGGAAGUAGUCAUCUUCUUUGAUUCAUUCUAAGAACUCUGUCCCAAGCGGGAAAAGCUCAGAGAAAGGGAAUUACACAGGAUGAAAUGGGGAUGAAAGUAGGUUAGAGCUUAGAGAUUAUGUCCGUUGCACUGCCAUAGUCGUCGCGAAGGAGAAGGACGAGGCGCUAUAUCAUAUAUAUAGCUCUACUCAAUGAGAAUGCAUCCAGAUAGAGUGCCGCGAAUUAGAGGAGCCGAUACAGAAUGGGAAGGAAGACAGUGCUGUCUUACAUUCCGCGUGGGCCAGCCUCUCUUUAUAUGUCACCAAAGAAGACAAGAAGCCCUAUGUCUGGGGAAAGUUCUCCCUUCAAGACAUACUGCAAGAAGCAGAGGUCAAAGCACAAAAGGCUUUCUUGUGAACCAGCACGAGCGUGUGCGGAAGCUUAGAGAGAGGAUUGAGCAGUACGAUGAUUUCCUGGAGCUAAGGGGCGAUCCAGAGAUCGCAGGGCUCCUCUGGUCCAAGUACAGUACUGAAAGCAAAAUCAGGGAAGAUUCCCAGCAGAUAAAGCUAGAAAAGAGAUCCACUAUGGAGCUACGAGUAGCUUAUCUCGAGGAGAGGGGCGAAGAAGCUCGACUGAAAGGAGAGGGGCCGGCCUCUUCUAAGAAGAAUUAGAGGAUCAAUCUCUAUUCUUAGAUUGGAUUGGAUCGCCACCAACCUCGUCUUCCAGAGGCCCAUCCAUAAAGACAAGGCAACUCUUUGUCUAUGGGCGGCCAAGUACACAAAAAACCCCCUUGUUCUUAGUAUGUUAAAGAAGGGCUUAAGGGAAGAAGAAGAUCAAGCCUAGGGACAAAGGAAGAACGACUAAAAUCAAAAGGGGCACACGAUUACUUCGACCUCUGGGUCGUCGAUGAGUUCAUGGAAGACAAGGCGCAGUCCGAAAACGAAUCGGAACAAGGUCGGAAUUAGAUUCAGGGGAUGCUCACGCUCAUGGGCAGGAGUGCAGGCCUCAAUACGAAAGGACCUGAUAUAAGAAGGCCAAGGUUCCCAUUAUUUUCAUGGGAAAGCAUAUACCUUCUACCUGAACCGUGGACGAAAGGCCUUUGGCCAAGAGAAGAGAGCCUUUCACCUUUCAACUUUGACUCCAACAUAGAGGAGCUGCAAGAGGAGAGGCUUAUAGCCAAUGGGGUUGUAUUUUCGGCCGCCUGCACGAUAGCAGGGGAGCUCGUAAGGGAUCCCCGCCUUUAAUACAAUUCGUUAAGCAGAUUAGAAGUGCCUGUAAGCGACGGAAAGAUUCUUUCACUCCUUAUUAUUGAAAGGAGAAAUCCACGUGCUGGCAAUAAGGAAGGGCAGCAAAAAGGGGGAGAAAGCCUACCUGGACCGCGGAGUGGGCAUUGCUCAACUGAGAGCAUGGGACAUGAACCUACUACAGUUUGCCGUAGUACCCCAAGAAAUCCGUAAAUUCAUAGCCCAUGAGCCCACACAGCACAUAAGGGGAGCACGCCAAAGGCUGGUUAUAAGGAGGGAAGAGGACCACGAUAAGCAGGAUUACGCCUUAUGGUAGGCUUUCCUUCGUGACGUAAAAAGGGUGCCCCAGGCCUUGUUCAAGGUGACCCAGCAUCCAUCUCCAUCAGUACUCUUUCUGUUCUAAUAAGCUUUUAGCAGUAUAGCGGGAAGCAUUUUCAUUCAAUAGGGCAAGAUGGAAAUUUUCCCACUCCAUUGCAUUGGGGAAGAUUUUUGAGAAGUUUCAGCCUUAGUGCAUUCUUUUGUCUCUUCUCUCUGUCUGCCUGAGAAAGAGUUCUGAGAAUCAAAUCAACCUUCAGAGAUUCCCGCCUUCUUUCUUGACUAGUAGUAAGCAUUAUGCCUUUCAUUUCUUAACCUAGUCAAAGAGGGGGAGCCGCUGCUCCUUUGUAUAGGGAAAAAGGGUGAUAUAAAGGGAUGAAUUCUCUGGUCUAAUUAAUAAUAGACUGGGGAUCGUAGGAAAGGUUCUUUACUUGUCGGCUAGCCUAAGCUCCAUCCUACUUACUUGCUUUCUUACACAUUUAGACCGGUCCGAAGCCUGAAUUCUCGAUUUUCGGUUCAUCUGAAUUCAAAAGAAAGAAAUCAGAGCCCACUUCAUCAAAGAAAAAAAGAAGAAUGGGGACGGUCCCCUGCUUCCUUUAGUUCCUUUGGUGAACAAUAGGUCAUCUUCUACCCAGAAUUGACGAGUCUUCCCUUCUUUAAUCAACUGUAUUAUAGCUUGGGCCGCAGGGUCCUUGGCCAGGCAAGCCUUGAUAGUUUCAAGAAGGGUGCCGGCUGCUAGCUUUUAAAUGGGCGAAGAUGCACAGGGCCGCAUGUUCGCUCAUCCGACUAAGGGCUAAGGCCGCUCUCCUUUACCUGUCUUCAAAUUUCAAAGAAAAUUCGGCCAAGCAUUCUUGCCAACGAGCUUCUUUAGAGGUCAAUUUGGGUUGACUGAAAAAGUGGCAUAUCUUUCUAUUGUCCGUCUUGACUACGAACUGGGAUCCCAAGACAUAUUGUCUCCAGGCUCUAGUGUACCACUGCAAGCAUUUCUUUCUCUCCGGCUUCUCCUCUCCGCAUCCAUCCUUCAGUUUCCUGCUCUCAUAGGCAAUGGGAUGGCCGUCUUGGAGGACUAAGGCAAAAUCAGAUGCGUCGCUUUCCACUUGCUUUGCUUACAUCGGCAAUUCCGAGAACCGGCCCUUCCAUCAUGGCCUUCUUCAGAUCCCCCAGCCUGAGAUUCUGGGGUCCAUUCCAUUCCCACUUAUGGUCUUUCUUCAAGAACUCCGUUAAGGGCCCUGUUCUUGAAGAGAAUCCCUCAAGGAAGGUAGGCUUUCUGGAAAAGAAAUAGUAGGUUCUACGAGGAAAGAAGGCAAAUCCCUUACUACAGACGGCACUCUCCAGUCACGUAGAGCAGUCAUUUUGCUCUCUUCCAUGCCGAUUCGGCCACACUCGAUCACGUGACCGAGGAAGUUAAUGCCUUUCUGAGCAAAGGCAAUUUCUCUCUCUUUACAUACAGUCAACCUCAAUUUCUCAAAUACUAACUGAAGGUGAGGUUGAUGCUCUUCUAGCCUCGCGCUCUAAACCACAAUCUCGUCCAGAUAUAUAUACUAGGAUCAACUUCUCAAGGUAUGAAUGGAAAACCUGAUUCUGAAAGGUAGAAAAAGUGGCUGGAGCAUUGGUGAGGCCGAAAGGCAUUAGACUCGGAAUGAAAAGGCGUAAUCUCGUCUAAGACAAUGGUUCAUCUCCUGAAGCAAUUCGCACUUGAUAAUAAAUACCCUGAAAUCUGAUCCAAUUCUUCAAAGUACUUGGUGGAGGCGGUCAAAUAAGUCUGUGAUAAUGGGGAGAGGUCUUUCGAACUCUGAGUUUAUUCAGCGCUCGAUAGUCGAUACAUAAGCGGAGACUUCCCUCUUUCUUCUGAAUCAAGAAGAAAUAUGUGCGCGAGGACCUUUUGCAGGUCUAAUAAACCCAGCGUCCAAGAACUCUACCAAUGAGAAGUUCUGCCAAUUCUGGCGGCCCCAUGUGAUACGCAUUCUUUGCAGGGGGUCUCGCCCCGGGUAGAAGUUCUAUCUCAUGAUCUAUCCCCCUGAGUGGAGGUAGAGUCUUAGGCAAACUCUCUGCCAUUACGUCUUGGUAUUCGUCUAAGACAUACUGGACUGCCUCCGGAACUAGCUCUUUCGGACUUUCCUCAUCAACCACUGGGAUAGCCAUGAAUGAACGUGGGCUCUUCGCGGGCUAGCCCUCUCUUCAGCUGGAGAAGUUUCAUCCCUUUCUUCUCUUUGUCUGGACUACGGUGGGAUUAGAUCCUGUGACUACCAAAGAUUUGGCCAAGGAUCAAAGUAUUUGAGCUUUGCGCCUUGUGUUCAAGAAGGAAUUCCAUCCCCAGCACUACAUCAAAAUCGUCCAUCUUCACAACCAAAAAAUCCGUCUGUCCACUCCACGAUCCCAAUUUGAACCUCAUUCGUCUUGCAAUCCCCAAAAUGGGUAAGGCGGCUGAGUUUACUCCUUUCAUUUUUCCUGGGUCUUUGUCCCAAUUCUAAGACGUCGGGCCUCUGUCUCAGCAAUUCCAUUGGGGGUGGGAAUCGACCUCUUUUGGCCUCUUUCUGAUUCACCCACGCAUCUACGUACAUGAGACCUCGUUCCGCCUGUCCUUUAUUUCCCUCUGCCUUUUUCUUCAGGGCGGACAAAAACUUCAGGGCCCCGGGGUUUUCCUCGCCCUCUUCUUCCCCUGUAUUCGUCUCAUUCUUUUCUUUGUUCAUUGAUCGGCAUUGGUUCUUAACCUUGCCUGGAAUGCCUUGAGAGCAGCGAGAUUUGGGCAUUCGUAAACUCGUUGGGGGCCCUUGCACAGGAAGCAAGAUGGGGGUCCUCCUCUAUAAUUGCCUUGCUCUUGCUUCGGGUUGCGCCCUUGGUGUCCGCCUCUUGGGGGAAAGGCUUUGCGAUCCCCUCCUCCCGCUCUCUCUCCUCCUCCACUUUUGGGAGAGUUAGAUCCGGCGGGUUUAUUACUUCCACUAGAGGAAGCUUGCUUUCCUCUUUGCUCGUGGGGCGCAUCCUUGCUGAGAUCAAAUAGUCGUUCUGCUGCGGCAUAGGCUGAGGACAGGCUUUGGACUGACGGCUUUCUCUUUCUUUUUCUUUCUUUUAGCCCACCACAAAAGAUCAAACUUUAGCUUUCUCUGACAUAUCACGGAUAUCCAGGAUCAGCCCGGCAAAUUGCUUCACGUAUUCUCUAAUUGUGCCAGUAUCUUUUAGUUCUCCUAACUUACUGAGAAUUUCUUCUCGGGGAAGAACUGAGACCGCAGCUCUUCUUUCAGUGUCUCCCACGUAUCGAUGGUCCAUCUACCCUCUUGGAUGUCCACAAAUCGGGACCUCCACCACAAGCGUCUUCUGCCAGGUGCAUCGUCGCCAAUGUGAUCAAAGACUCUUCAGUCACUGUAUUCCUAGCUCUUAAAUAUUGUUCCAAAUCAAGGUGAAAAGAAUAUUGACCAGCCUAAGAAAGAGAAAGCCUAGGCACUUGAACCCGGUUGAACUGGACCGCGCCCCGGGCUUGGUCACCGCUCUUAUGGUGAGAUUGACUCUUGCGCUGACAUCUGCAAUCUCUGUCCUGAUGACAUUAUCAGAGCUCCUCCGAGAAUUCAAUUCGUUCACCAUUUUCAUUAUCGCUUUCUCUCAGCUGUCCAAUGCAAGGCUCUUCAGGCCGUAGAGCCCAGCUAUCCCCUCCCUCGCUCGAAGCUACCCAACCUGCUAGCAUUUGCUUCUCUCAAAUGAGCAAUAUUCUUUGCACCUUGUCAUCAACUCUUUGAGGGGCAUUCCGUCUAAGCGGCCAGCUACCGCAUCGAUUCCGCCUUCUCAGAGACUUCCUUCAGCCGAGUGUCUCUAGGAAUCGAACUUGAUCAGGGACUUCUAUCAAAUAGAGCAGAUGCUCUUCCAUCUCUCCCAACCGGUCAACGUGGGACUUACCCAACUCUUUCGUAGCCGACAUGAUUACAGCUUGUUAACUUCGUGAGCCGACUUGGCUCUGAUACCAAUUCUCACGGUCGCACUUUCGUAAGCGUCUCGGAGCGAUCUAAGGCAAUCCCACACUAGAACAAGUCAGCCAAACUCAAUCCAAAUAGCCGAUGGCACGCACAAUGGACGUACUUCGCAACCCUUGAUCAAUUAGAAAAGGGGUUUAGAGGAAAAGGUUUGAGCAAAGGUUUGAAAGCAUCUUUGAGAAAAUCAAUGAGGGCUAUAAGCAGGACAAGAAGUUCUAUCUUUUCACUCGAGGAUGUGUGGAUAUGAUGAUUAGUCUGACCCCCACAUAGUACAUUUUGAACAAAAAGAGAAUUGGCAGGCUCAACUAGAAAGAAAGGAAGAAAGCCAGCGGUGGAAUAAAGAAGAAAGUUUGAGUAUAUUCACCUUUUAUUUGCCGCCUUGAUUUUGUGAAGAGGUCGGAUAUAUAGGAUUAGGAGGAGUGGGAGUGGAGAUCCCGAACUUGCAUGAGAAAAAUAGAUCAGUCAGAAAGGACUUAUCUCAUUCUAUAUGUUCCGACGCAUAAAGAAAGAGUAGAAAAAGAUAGAAAAAGGACGGGACAAUUAAUUCAAGUACGGAAUCCUCUGUCCAUGUCUUGAGGUCUAUUCGAUCUUGAUCGACUGCUUUUUCCUUAGAAGACAGCUGUCAAAGCAACCUCCUCAACCUAUCGGAAACUCCUCUGAACCUGCGAUGGAUGAUCUCUACUGGUCUGAACUUUCUUCUUAGUGAACUGAAAGGCCUACGAGGAGGCUGCUCGAGCUACCUUACCUCUCGGUAUGAGUGCGGUUUCCGUCGGAGUUCUUGAAUCGGAAAUGAGUACAUUAUCAGCCGUCCAGCGACUUUCUUAUUCUACUGUCAAAACUUCUUCCUCGCUUUUCUUUAUGGGAACUGAAGCUCGCUAGGUAGGAUGGAUGCAAAAGUCUGUCCUUCGAUAAUUGGUCGGGCAUAUUCCUUCCACUCGUGAACCCCUUCUCCUCGGAAUACGAACCUAUUCCACUGCAGAAGAACCGAGACUUCUCCUACGAAUGACUCGUAAACUGAAGAUCUUUCAAACUCCUCCGAGCAAUAUGAAAACCUACUAAAGCCUAGGAGGGAAUUCCAUUCCGGCCUGGCUUACCUUGAGAGUUGACUGACUUUCUUCCUCAUGAAACUCCAAUGCAUUCCCGAAAGAGGUCAAGCUGCAACCUAUCCUCUUGGUCUCCUCACACAGCGCGUAGUGGUGGUCGAGAUAUUAAAGGCGUAGUGGGCUGGCCGGUCUACGAAGAGAUUCUAAUAGUGAGAGAGCCAGACCCAAGUCAAGAGUUCUAUCGGAGGCCUUCUCUUGAAAACCGAGUUCUCGAUCCGAAUUCAGAUUACUCGGUCUAAUAAUGGAAGAGAGGUUCCAUAAGCAUAAGAGGAAAGCCAUACCUACUCAUAUCUUCUGCUUUCAGUUACCUCCGGGCUUCCGGUAAUCAUUGAAUCAUUACGCAUGGUCUAAUGGAAGAGAGAGAGAAAGAGCCAUUCCACUCGUCAACUUAGGAUGUGCCACCAAGGCUCAAAGAAUUUGAGAAAGAACAUCACUCCUUUCUUCUGGUCCGGUCCCGAGCAAGGUAGAUCCGCCUGUCUUUCAUGCUUUGUUUUUUCCUCUAACCUCUCGACUCGUACUCUUUCUCUCUCCUUUCUUCCUCGUGCGUGCCUAUUUGACUUUGCUGUCUCGCUACUUUCUCAGUCUGAUCCUUCAUUAUUCUUUCAUAAGAGAAUGGGAAUAUGAGCAUACGAUUUCUGAAUAAUAGCUUGACUCUCCUGGAACAAGCCACAGCCACUUCCUCAACUUCCGCAGCCACUGCUCUCGAUCCUUUCUUCUUCAACUUCAACCGCUCCUUUACCUUUAAGUAGGUUCAGACUUUCCUUUCUACAGUCAAAAUCAACCGUGGGCGUGGUGACCAAUCGUCCGCGAUGGAAUGAGAUCUUGAGUCAUAAGAAAAGGUAGGGAGAGGUGGGAAGCCGCUAUCGGUCUGAUUCAUAGGGCAUUCUUAUUCUCUUUCUCUCUUUCUUCCAAGAAGACUAGACCGACCGACCCCCACUCGGAUCGGUCUUAUUCCGCUUCUUAUUCUACUUAAUAAAUAAAGGUAAGAUAAGAAAGCCACGGGUGGUGGGAGGUAAGCUUCGUAGGACGCCCCAAAGAUGAAAGAGGAGGCUACCUACCUACAAGCUUGACUUAUAUCCUCGUAAACUACUUUUGAUAGGGAUCUCAUGAUCGGAUAGUAAUGUCAUAGGAUUGAUCAAAGAUCAAAAAGGGUUGCGAGACCUAGUUUUCUCCUUUUCUUGGGUUCGGGAAAGGGUAUCGGAUUAUGGGCGAAGCCGCUCCACUGUAUCAAGAUCGAGAACUCACCCGUAUCAGAUGGAUCGGCCGAGUCAUAGCUCUUCCGUUGCAGCAGAGUCAGAAAGAGCGGGGAACUCCGCAAUAGUAGGACUAGCUAGCGCAAGAAUCAUAUAUCUACUCAACGAAGCAGCAUAGAAAGGACAGGAGCGAAGCGAGUAUCAUCAGUCCAUUCAAUAUUCCAAAUUGAAUAAGAAAGAUUCCCGCUACGUGGGCAAAGAAAGAAGGAAAGUAAUAGAGAGUCACUCCAUUCAUAACUAGGUAGUUCUGGCUUUCUAUCUCCAUCUUAGAGUGACCACCUUCUUUUCUCAAAGAAAGCAGGCGACCAAUAUAAAAAAUAGUGGACUGCGGUCCUGCGAAGCCGGUCAACGGAUAGGCAGAGUACAAACCGAUGGUAGACUUUCUUCAAGUUUGACUUUCCAUGAACUAGUCUAUUAAAGAAGAGACGAAGAGCUUGAUUAUCCACUUAUUUCCCCCUCAAUGAUCUUGAGCAGGGUAUAUAAUGGAGAAUAGAGACUGAACUUCUUAAUAUGUAUCGUAUCACAGAUCCAUGAAAGAUCCUUUUUUCCUAGCCCCUAUUGCACCAUCUUGAUAGGAAUAGGUUGAAUGAGUCAGAGGAAGCGAGACAGAAGGCAUCGGGGCAGGGGAGUAAUCGUAAUCCGUCCCAGGAGAAUAGGAAGUAUCCGUUGAGGAAUCAGAAGUUGAAUGAGAGGAAUGAGAGACUGAAAGCAAGACGGGAUCGAUGUGCAGGUCAGAAAUCGGGGGGAUAUUUUCUAGGGAUCGGAGGCCCCGGUAACAUAACUCUCUUAUAGAAAGAGUAGGGUAGGAGUAUUCUCAGAAGUUAGUAUUCCAGAGUCAGCCUCAUCCAUUUCAUGAGUCCGAAGUUUCAGUUUCGGAAGUUGAAUCAGAGUGAGAGGAAUCAUCUUUCGGCAGAGGGCUAGGCCAGGAGGGCUUGAUGGGACUAUCUCAAUUCUCUGUUCCGGAAGCCUCAGUUAGAGGUUAUCAUAGGAUCGACCUUCACUAUCCCAAGCAGCUAUCUGCUUAGGGGCUCUCUUCUUCCAUGUCGGAGAAAGUACUUUUUCUUGAAUCAGAGUCUGAGUACGAAAAGCAUCCUUGAGUAUGAGAAGGAUAGGUUGCUAGGGAAGAAAGGAUAGAAGCAGCUUUACCGCCCACGUAGCGGGAGAGAGAAUGAGAGGGAUAGGACGUCAUCACCUUAUCAAUAGGAAGCGAUACCGGCCGAGUGCCAUUUAGUUAGGAUGCGGCUUUCCCGACGGGUAACUGAAAUUCCUAAGCAAGAUCAGUUUCAUUAUCCGUUUCCGAAGAGCUACUCUGAUAGCUUGACUCAGUAUUCUUUAUACCCCCUCUUUCAAGGGAGAAUUAUCCGACUUAGGAGGGUACCGCAUUGGGCAGAAGCAUCACAGCAGUUCCUAUAAGAAAUAUUCCCUAGUUCAGGUCGAGCAGAGCUUCAUACCGAUUAAGAAAGGGAUAAGAAGACAGCUGAGCACCGAUCCCGAAAGAAAAGAGUCUAAGUCGAAAAAUCCGCUUUUAAGAAAAUGAAGUCAAAUUCUUUGCCUCUGUCUUAUCCGCUCCUCUCCCACUGCGUAGGAGGACGGUCUAGCAGCCCUUUUUCUUGAUUACGGAAGAAGGGGCCCUAACUUUUGAGUGAUUUAGGCUAUUUCCCCUCUCCCUAUCUAUAGGUCUAGCUCCUAAGCGCGUAGUGGGCUCUGCUGCCUCGCUCGGGUCGUAUUCAUAUCUUGAAAGAAGGUCAGGUCUAGCUUUCGGCGCUCUUCCUAUGGAUCAUGAAAUGAGUACUUAUUGCCAUAGAGCCGCAUCGAUCCUAAUCUACUCUGUCUCCCUUCUGGUCUCGCUCCUUCGCUUCCUAUUUCUGAAGCUUGUUGUCGAGCUCCUUCGCUUCCUAUUAAAUGACUGACUCAUGGUUCUAAGAAUGAAAUGACUUUAGACCUGAAAGAAGACCCGAUCCGGGGCCACUUCGCUCUUCAAGCCUAUCGGUAAAGCAGCUUUCGCUGACUCUGACUUUGCCCUGGUCUACCUUCCCCAAAGAAAAAUCGAGCCCUCACUCUACUCUUGCGCUUCCUUUUCCACUCUUCUCCCUAAGGAAAGAGAGAAUUUGACUUCUACUCAGAUCAGAAAAUAGGGAAAGCUUUCUCCAACUCAUGAAAGGCGUAUGAGGCAUAUGAAAGAGAAAGAGCGGUAGUUCUCAGUCCCCUUAACCCGAUCUGACCCUAUACAAAGCGAUCUUGCUUAGAAAGUCUCUUUCCGCCACCAGAUCUGAUUCCUACUAAACUCAAUCUGACUCCGGAUCUUAUGCUCCGGCUCUCGAUGCUACCGCGUAGUGGGCCAUAGAUCUUUGCGCCUCCUCAAAAAGGGCAAUAUUCUUUGCGCCUUCUCUUCUGACUUCGGUUUUUGGAAGGUGGGCUUUCUUCUUCUUCUUUCUCAAACUAGACGCCCACUUAGCCCCGUCAGUGGCCCUUCUUUUUUGAUAUAUUUAUAUAGGCGCCCGCGAAGCAAGGCAUCCUUCAUAUUUCUCUGGGAUAGGCAGAGUACAAAAGAGAAGGAGAAGAUCGAUUGAGGAAAGCAUGAACUAUCGUUAUAGUUGUGGAAAGUAGAUCUUGAUUCUUCUUACCACCUUCUUUGAGAAAAACCAGCAAGAAUAAUGGCUUUGAUUCAAGCCGGUCAAAGUCUGGCAGAGUAGAAAAUUCGAACUUGCUUCAAGACAGAGAGUUCAAGCUAUGACGGUAGUUCUGGCGAAGUCUCUCUCUCUUCUUCCAUUAGAUGCAGUAGGGGAAUCAUCAUUCUCACUCCCUUUCCGAAGAGCUACUGACUGAGGAAGACUUGGUGCGAGACCGAGUUGGAUCGAAAGAAGCGGCUUUCCCGGAUUGAGUAGGGGACUAAGCUAUCUCAAGAGAGUAGGAGCCUCAAGCGCUUUCAAUUCGAAGUUAGAGUCAGUGGCGCUCAAUCUCCAGCUCCCCCGAGCAGCCUUUCCCGAUAGGGUCUUGAGUGAGUUAUUGCCUUUCUCCCUUUCAUAGGUUAAGUGAGUCACAACAAUCGUCAGCGAGAACUAUCUAUUUCUAUCAAGUAGGCUUACAGAGGGUAUUUCAUAAGACAGGAGAAUUCUCAGUGUCGGCUACGAAAGGCGAGACCAGUCAAAUUCUUUGACCCUAGGCUUGAUUUUCAUAUUCAAGAUUCCACUCGCAAAUUCUUUGCCCCUUAUUCAUUGAUUGCGCUUGCACGCCUAUUUUUUGGAUUUCACAGGUCCGAAGGACAGACAGGUUAAUAUGGAUAGGACUGAGGACGGAAUCAGACUUCUAAUAGAGUGUCCAGCUGACUAUCCAUUAGAAUAAGGCGAAGGCUCAAAGAAUCCCACUACGCGGGAUAGUCCGGAGGACUGGAAGGCGCAAAGAAUAUUGCCCAUUAGAGAAUUUGACUUUGGAGGAGGCGCCAUAAGACAGGGAUAUUCUUGAAUACUAUUACUUCUUAUUUGACGUUAGGCUCAUAAUAUAGUAUGAACCCUUGCGCUCCUUAAGAGUCGCUUCGCUUCUCCCCUCUCCUUUCAGUCGUCCGGAGGCUCAAAGAAUGAUCGGAGCUUUUCAUAUUGCGGAAAAGAAGAAAGGCUCUUUGAAGAUUGAGAAAUCCAUAUUAAAUUAGUAAGCGGUAGCUUUCUUACAAAGGAAAGAUUGAACCGCGUAGUGGGUCUUUCAAAGAUUAUUAUCAAUAUCAAAACAUUUAAGCGGAAGCCUUGUUCUUCCAGCGCCUAUUCUUUGUGGUGGUCCGAGCUACCGGUACUACUUUCUCCUAAUUAGACUAAUGGAAGGAAGACCGUAACCUCCUAAGCGAGCACCCCUUGUCCCUAAUAAGAUCAAAGAGCUUCUCGCCCCUUGCUUGAUCUUCCCCUGGAACCCACGGAGCGGUGGGGUUCAGAUCAGAGUGCCAUGAACAGACUGACGGAAAGAAUGAAAGACCGAUCGUCUAGUAAAUGAGAUGCCCAUUGAUACCCUUUUUCGAUGCAUGCAAAUGGACUGUCGACAAAAGAUAAUAUAGAAAAAUCAGUGAUUUUCCUCUUUUCAUUGCUUCCACCUGCGAACAUUCCCCCUUGAAUCAGUACUCUAAUCUAAGAAAGGGUCCGGGUCGUAUUCUAUCUUUCAUGAUCAAAGAGGAUGAAAUGCUGCUCGACAAGAGGGGUUGCUGUCUAACUUCAAGAAGUAUUGAAAGGUAAGACCUAUAAGAAAGAGGUCAGACCCAGAGACUGAUUUCUUUGAGUUCGCCUCUUCCUUUGGUCUUGAAUAUCUAGAUCUGAGUUCGUCGGCCUCAUUCAAGGCAUUUCACUCAAUUUCCUUUUAUUUACAUAAAAUCGCCUAGUUGAGACCGCGUAGUGGGGAUUUACUCGACUAUUAAAAACCUUGGGAAAUCCGAAGCUCUUUCCUCCCCAAGGCAGACCGAACUACAAGAGCUUUUUUCUAGAAUACGAAGAGGAGGAAUCGGAUGACGAAGGAUCAAUCAGGCAGGGAAAGGAAAGUCGGGCUUACUAGCCCGCCAUCUCAAGCUCAUCAGACCCACGUAGCGGUUCGGAGUCGGAGCGGGAAUAAAAGGAAGAGGUCUAAGUCGAGGGGUCUCCAGCUACCUGGGUAGGGUCGGCAGGUCGGGGCCGAGUGGGAGAUCCUAUUUCAGUGACUAACGAAAGAGCUUACCUCGAAGAAGAGAUGACGCAUCCUCAACUGCACUGCUACUGGUCUCGUCUUUCUCUACUGCUUGAAAGCUGACGCUUCUGACUCAAGAAAGACGGGUUAAAAAGACUAUGAAAGUCCGCCGAGACUGGUGUCUUUCACCCCCUAUUUCCGAUUUCAGUGACUAGAAAGAAAUACUAUACCGCGUAGUGGGACCCGAGCAAAGAAUAUUGCUUUAAAUAGUGGUCCGUCCGGAGGACUCAAGGAUUCCGCUAAAGUUUACCGAAGGCGCAAUGAAAUAUGCGGCGUGAGGUUAGGAUCAAAGAAUUUGAAGAGAAGAAAGGCUCUUUUCAGAUUUCGAGUUUACAAAUUAGGAGAAAGAAAUAGAAAGUGCUGAAUAAUGAACUCAUUAACGAUAAUGAAAGAAGCUCAAAAUGGGAAUGAAAAAGAAAGAGGUGAAUAUGGGAGAUUUCAGACAUCUUUGCUUAAUGAAGACGGAGGGAAAUCCCGGAAAAUGCUAGGUUUUGCCCAUAGGGAAGUAGCAAGAAAGAAAGUCAAAUGCCUUCUUUUUCACUCAAUUAUCGUGAAAUAGAUAAAACUGAAUAUGGAUAGUCCUUCGGACUGGUCCAUUAGAAAAAUCUAGUGUGUGGAAAUUCACAUUGAGAACUUAUAGUUUGUGGUCCUAAAUUCACGCUGGUACCGUAGUAGGUAAACUUUCAGGGGAAAGAGAAAGAACUUUAGGCUUUGUUGAUUUACUACGUGAUGAUUUUAUUGAAAAAGACCGAAGCCGCGGUAUUUAUUUCACUCAAGAUUGGGUCUCUUUACCAGGUGUUCUGCCAGUGGCUUCCGGUGGUAUUCACGUUUGGCAUAUGCCUGCUCUAACCGAGAUUUUUGGAGAUGAUUCUGUACUAGCGGAGGAACUUUGGGGCACGGGUAAUGCACCUGGUGCCGUAGCUAACCGAGUAGCUCUAGAAGCAUGUGUACAAGCUCGUAAUGAGGGACGUGAUCUUGCUCGUGAGGGUAAUGAAAUUAUCCGUGAGGCUAGUAAAUGGAGUCCUGAACUAGCUGCUGCUUGUGAAGUAUGGAAGGAGAUCAAAUUUGAAUUUGAGGCAAUGGAUACUUUGUAAUCCAGUAAUUACUCUUCGUUCUUUUAAUUGACUUUCAAUUAAACUAAACUCGGCCCAAUCUUUUACUAAAAGGAUUGAGCCGAAUACAAUACAAAGAUAUUAUUUUAUAUCUUUUUACUAGAUAUACAAAAUAGAAAAUUGAAAUGAGAAAGAACUGAAACAUUUUUUGAUUGUUGUGCUGGAUCCGCAAUUAAGCCUAUGGAUCCUUAGGAUUGGUGUAGUCGUUUAAUAUAUUAUAUCCCGUAGCCUCGUUUCAGAUCCGGGAUCGAGCCAAGUAUCACAACUUCUUCUACCCAUCCUGUAUAUUGUCCUUUUUGUUCUGUCUUGGAAUACAAAUUUUUGCUUUUUAGUAAACAUUAUAACGGAACCUUUUUUUUGAAGACCGACUCGUUAAUAGUUUUUAAUCCUAGUUCUUGGAUUUAGUGAUAGGAAAUGAGAUAUGAAAAUGAUUUCCUUUUUAUCGAAUGACUAUUCAUCUAUUGUAUUUUCAUGUAAAUAGGGGCAAGAAAGCUCUAUGGAAAAAAGAUGGUGAAAUUCGAUGUUGUCUAAAGGGGAGUUAGAAUACAGGUGUAGGCUAAGUAAAUCAAUCAAUAGUCUUGGUCCUAUUGAAAGUGAAGGAUCCAUUAUAAAUAAUAUGAAUCAAAACAUUCCUAGUCAUAGUGAUAGUUACAAUUCUAGUUACAGUACUGUUGAUGAUUUAGUCGGCAUUCGAAAUUUCGUAUCUGAUGACACUUUUUUAGUUAGGGAUAGUAAUAGCAGCAGUUAUUCCAUAUAUUUGGAUAUUGAAAAUCAAAUUUUUGAGCUAGAAAGUGAUUUUUCUAGUUUUCGGAACUCUACUUAUCAAAAUAAUAUAUCUAAGAGUGAUGAUUCCCACUAUGAUCGUUACAUCUAUGAUACUCAAUAUAGUUGGAAUAAUCACAUUAAUAGUUGCAUUGACAGUUAUCUUCGGACUCAAAUCUGUAUUGAUAGUUACAUUUUAAGUGGUAGUCACAAUUACAGUGACAGUUACAUAAAUAGUGAUAUUUGUGGCCCACGUCUAUAAAAGGGAAAGACUAGUUCAAGUGAGAGUUUCAGUAUUGAAUAUGGAUUUCCUCGUUGCGCUCCUUAACAGUCCUCCGGACUAUCUUUGAACCUUCGGACGCAUGGAAAUAAUUGAACUAUAACAGAAAGUUCUAAUGAUCUAGAUAAUGAUCGAACUCCAAACUACAGCCAUUUGUGGGUUCUAUGCGAAAAUUGUUAUCAAUUCAAUUAUAAGAGACUUUUCAAAUCAAAAAAAAAUGAAUAUUUGUGAAGAAUGUGGAUACCAUUUGAAAAUGAGUAGUUCAGAUAGAAUCGAACUUUUGAUUGAUCCAGGUACUUGGGAGCCUAUGGAUGAAGACAUGGUCUCUGUGGAUCCCAUUGAAUGGGAUUCGAAGGUGGAUCCAGGGAAUUCGGAGGUGGAUCCCAUUGAAGGGGAUUCGGAGGAGUACGAGGACUCUUCUUAUAAAGAUCGUAUUUCUUCUUCUCAAAUAGAGACAGGAUUACGUGAGGCUAUUCAAAGAGGCACAGGUAAAUUCAAUGGUAUUCCCGUAGCAAUUGGGGUUAUGUAGUUUGAGUUUAUGGGGGGUAGUAUGGGAUCUGUAGUAGGCGAGAAAAUCACCCGUUUGAUCGACUAUGCUACCAAUCAAUUUUGACCUCUUAUUUUAGUGUUAGUGUGUGCUUCGGGAGGAGCACGGAUGCAAGAAGGAAGUUUGAGCUUGAUGCAAAUGGCAAAAAUCUCUUCCUAAAUAUCAAGAAAAUCCAAAAUUAUUCUAUGUAGCAAUCCUUACAUCUCCUACUACUGGUGGGGUGAGAGCUAGUUUUGCUAUGUUGGGGGAUAUCAUUAUUGCCGAACCGAAUGCCUACAUCGCAUUUGCGGGUAAAAGAAUAAUUGAAGAAAGAUUGAAGAUAGAAGUCCCUGAGGGUUCACAGAAGACUGAACCUUUAUUCGAAGCUUAUUAGAUCUUAAUCGUACCACGUAAUCCUUUAAAAGAUGUUGUGAGUGAGUUAUUUCAGCUCCACGCUUUCGUUCCCUCGAAUCAAAAUUCAAUCAAGUAAAGCCCUUCAAAAAUUCAUUCUUUUUUUUCUUUCUUCCGCUCAAAAUAGUGCUAGUUGAUUAGAGUUACUUCGGAAAAGUCAAAUCUCUUUUUUUGAUUCUAUCAAUUCCAAUAAAAUGCAACGAGAUCUAGUAUGAAUUGGCGAUCAGAACGUAUAUGGAUAGAAUUUCUAAGAGGAUCUCGAAAAAUCAGCAAUUUCCGCUGGGCCUUUAUCCUUUUUUUAGGUUCAUUAGGGUGGUAGGGAUUUUCUAUCUUGAUUUCCGUCUCAGCAAAGAAUUUUUUUUCCACAGGGGAUCGUAAUGUCUUUCUAUGGGAUUGCCGGUCUCUUUAUUAGCUCCUAUUUGUAUGUAUUUGUGGUGCACAAUUUUGUGGAAUGUAGGUAGCGGUUAUGAUCGAUUCGAUAGAAAAGAAGAAAUAGUGUCUAUUUUUCUAUGGGGGUUUCCUGGAAAAAAUAGUCGAAUCUUCCUACGAUUCCUUAUGAAAGACAUUCAGUCCAUCAGAAUAGAAGUUAAAGAGGGUAUUUAUGCACGUCGUGUCCUUUAUAUGGAAAUAAGAGGCCAAGGGGCCAUUCCCUUGACUCGUACCGAUCUGAAUCUGACCCCACGAGAAAUUGAGCAAAAGGCUGCCGAAUUGGCCUAUUUCUUGCGUGUACCAAUUGAAGUUUUUUGAAAAAUGAAGUUCAGAAUGAAAUGAGUAGCAAGAGGGAUAAAACGGAAAUGAAAGAAUAGUCUUUUUUAUAGACCAUAGUAAUAAUAACUUAACUGGAAUUUCUUCAGAAUGCUCAUUUGACCCAAAGCAGACGUAUACGGAACAGCCAGAAAACUGUCUUUGUCCGAAAUUUUGAUCCGUAUGUAAAUCAACUCCACAGUAAGAAAAAAAGUGGAUUCUUUCUGAUUUUCUUUCUGUAUUAUUUCGAAAUGAAAGGAUUAACUAAUUCAUCACAAAUCAAAAACUAAAAAACAGGGAAUGGAUUCAUAAUAGUAUCCAUAUGACUUGUAAUAGAACUUAUGUUUGAUAUAAAUAUUUUGAGUGUAGAGAGUUAACGAAUGAAGUGAGUUCAUUAAAAAAUCAAAGACGAAAAAAUGGAAAAAAAGAACAAAGAAUAUUGCGUCUUUGCGCCUUCUAUAUCUUGCAUCUAUAGUAUUUUUGCCCUGGUGGAUCUCUCUGAAAUUGAAUAAAAGCCUAGAAUCUUGGUGGUGGAAUACUGGUCAUUUAUUUUUGAAUGAUAUUCAAGAAAAGAGUAUUAUCAAAAAAGUUCUAGUGGACGAAAUGCUAAAGGAAUACCCAGAAACACAUCUACAAAAAAAAGCUUCGUAUCGCAAUCUACAAAGAAAGGAUCCAAUUGAUCAAGAUGCACAAUGAGGAUCGUAUCCAUACGAUUUUGCACUUCUCGACAAAUCAAAUCUCUUUCGUUAUUCUAAGUGGUUAUUCUAUUCUUGGUAAUGAAGAACUUGUUAUUCUUAACUCUUGGGUUCAAGAGUUCCUAUAUAACUUAAGCGACACAAUAAAAGCUUUUUCUAUUCUUUUAUUAACUGAUUUAUGUAUAGGAUUCCAUUCACCCCAUGGUUGGGAACUAAUGAUUGGUUCUGUCUACAAAGAUUUUGGAUUUUCUCAUAACGAGAAAAUUAUAUCCAGUCUUGUUUCCACUUUUCCAGUCAUUCUUGACACAAUUUUGAAAUAUUGGAUCUUCCGUUAUUGAAAUCGUGUAUCUCCGUCACUUGUAGUGAUUUAUCAUUCAAUGAAUGACUGAAAAAUAGAAUCUUUCUUACUUUGUACAUAAGUAAAGAUUCCAAAUUGUACUUAUUCCUUCUACCCAUCACGAAGGAUGCCUCCUAUAUUCGAGUAACUUUAUUUCAGUAAAUAGCAGAAUCAUGGAUAGGGAACUAUACUAGGGACCUACCUAAUUUGAUUGUAGAAAUUUUGGGGCUCAAUGAUUGGACCAUGCAAACUAGAAAUACCUUUUCUUCGAUAAAGGAAGAGAUUACUCGAUCUAUUUCCGUAUCACUCAUGAUAUAUAUAAUAACUUGGGCACCCGUUUCAAAUGCAUAUCCCAUUUUUGCACAACAGGGUUCUGAAAAUCCACGAGAAGCAACCGGCCGUAUUGUCUGCGCCAACUGCCAUUUAGCUAAUAAGCCCGUGGAUAUCGAGGUUCCACAAGCGGUACUUCCUGAUACUGUAUUUGAAGCAGUUGUUCGAAUUCCUUAUGAUAUGCAACUGAAACAAGUUCUUGCAAAUGGUAAAAAGGGCGGUUUGAAUGUGGGGGCUGUUCUUAUUUUACCCGAAGGGUUUGAAUUAGCCCCCCCCGAUCGUAUUUCUCCCGAGAUUAAAGAAAAGAUGGGCAAUCUGUCUUUUCAGAGCUAUCGUCCCACUAAAAAAAAGAUUCUUGUGAUAGGUUCAGAAAUAUAGAAAAAAAGAACCUUUCCUAUUCUUUCCCAAGGCAUCCUUCUCUUGUUCUUGUGCAUCUAAUAGUGAACUUCUUCAAAUCUCCCAUAUACUCCGGCGGAAACAGUCAUAAUCAACGGAAGACUUACCGGGAGUAAGAGUCAGAAUAAUCUUUAUAAUGCUACAGCAGCAGGGAUAGUAAGCAAAAGAAUACGAAAAGAAAAAGGAGGAUAUGAAAUAACCAUAGUGGAUGCAGCGAAUGGGCGUCAAGUGCUUGAUAUUAUCCCUCCUGGACCAGUCCUCCGGACUAUUCGCUAUUCUAAAAUAGGACUUCGGACCAGCAUCAAAAUUCAAUUCCCCUUACUUCUCACUUCCUUGAAUCUCCUUCCUCUUCAUGAAAACUUAUAUUAAUCCGCUCCACAGCAUUCAGUUCCAUAAACAAGUCUCCUUCGGUUCAAUAGGGUAGAAGUCCUUCGGACUUUCUUUUUGGAAAAUAUGAUUCAUACUCAAAUCCCCUAAUGGAUAGGACUGAGGACCUGUCUUAUGGCACAAAAGUCAAUCAAAGAAAAUCAGCUCAUUAACUCGAAUUCAAGAAUCAUGAACUCAUUCACUCGAAUUCAAGAAUAAUUAGGAUUGAAUAACCUGGAGGGAAAUAAAGAAUAGACCCGUAAUUCUCCGGACCAUAAACUCAAACAAGAAUCAAACUAUGUGAAUUUCGAAAAUCAAAUAGGACAAUGCCUUGCUAUUUCCCGGCUUUUUUGCUUCUAAAUGUGACUUUUUCUCAUAUUGAUAUUCUACGAUAAAAGUACUUUAUUGACUGAUUUUUCAUGAUUUCUUGCUACUUUAUAGGCCCAAAACCUAGCAUUUCCCUCCGUCAAAAAGAGUGAAAUCAAUGAAGGAGUACAAUGAACAUCAUAAUGAUUCUUGAAUUCGAGUUAAUGAGCUUCUUUCUUUGCGCCUUCGCAUAUUUCAUUCCGCCUCCGUCCGGAGUCCGGAGUCCUACAGAUGAAUCUUCCGGACUAUCCAUAUGGAAGUAGUCCGGAGGAUUUAUCCGUAGGACCAUCCAUAUGGAAGGAAGGAGGACUAUCCGUAAUUAACCGAAGGAGGACUUUCCGUAAUUAACCGAACCUGGCACCUCCGUCCUCUCCAACAAUAUCCCUGUCUUAUGGAACCUGCUUUCGUCUUCCGAUAAUAGAAAACCUGAUUUCAGUUUCUUCAGGAUAGGCUUUCUCCCAACAACAUCGAUCAGUCUCAGACCUUGCAAAUUGUGCAUUUUGCCUAAUUCAUCUAAGAUUCAGACAAGAGGAAGGCUUCGUUGACAAAGAGGGUUCUUUGAUCUGAACUUUGUGAAUGCACGAACCCCAACCAGACCCUUUCUUUCCCCCGAUCGACAGGGCUAAUCAGCCUCCCUCUAAGUUCUUUCUACUACUACAAUAGCCUCAGUCUCAUGACUAUGCUUUCCCCUUUUCUGAAUAUCGUACCGAACCCAAACCCACUCCGCGGUAGAUGACUUUGAACCUCCCUGAUGGAUAGUCCUUCGGACCUGUCUUAUGGCGCCUGAGGCUCAUCAAAAAGAAGGUUUCAGAUGACCUUUCUUUUUUCUUAGCAACUACUAUUUUGAAUAAGACUCCUUCUACGCCGACUAUCCACUGAAAGUAGAAAAGCCUAUCAAAAGGAGAGGAAAACUACAACUUGACAAACUAUCUUGACUGACUUUCCGCCUUCAAAGAAGAUUCGGAAAGUGGUCCGUAAAUAGGUCUUGCUCAUAUCGGACAUUGAACAAGGCUUCCGCUUAAAUCUUUUGGUCCGGAGGCUGAAUUCAUUGAGUCACCGAAACGUAAUGAAAGCUCCGUGGGCUUACGCUUGAUUUUGAAGGACGCUUCUCUCAAAUUCUUUGAGCCUUAGUUUUCUCUUUUUCAGCUACGCGUAGCCGAUGAAAUAUUCUUUUCACCUUUGCUUUGUUUUCCAGCUUUCCAGCUAUGCGGACAGCCUGAAACUACUUUCUAUUUAUCCGUCCUCCGUCCGGAGUCCGUAGGACUAUCCGUAAUUAACCGAAGGAGUGGGCCACGAUCUUUGCUCCUCACGCAAACCGUAAUAUUCUGCAUUGAGCCUUCUAUCCUUCCAGUCUUGUCAAUAUUCUUUUCACCUUCGGUUUUCAAAGUAAGAGCUAUCCAAAAUCAUGAAGCAUCUGGACCUGUUAAUGGAACUGAUUUUCAUCAUUUGCUGCAUUCUAUAUGAGCCAAAAGUUAGCAAAAUGGGAAUUUCCCUAAUCAAAGAUGUGAAAAACCACCCCAACUUUUACGCCGACAAAGGAGAUAGGCCUUCUUCACCUACGGCAAAGGGGCGAAGCCAAGCGCAUUUAUCUGCUAAAUAAGGCGCAAAGCUCAAAUACUUUGAUCCUAUUUAAGGUGCCAUAAGACAGGUCCGAAGGCGGAAUGAAAUAUGCGGGGGAGCCGAAGGACUAUCCAUAUUAACCUGCGACUGAGGGUGAGACUGGUCCUCCGGACUUGUGAAUAAAGGGUGAAAAGAAAGAUUAGAUUUUAGGCGAAGGACUAUUCACGCAAUAUUCUUUGCGCCUUUAUGUCGAGCUUAUUCUAACCUUGAUUCUGAUAGCUGACCCCUCUCUGCUUCCUUUCGUCCGUCUUAACAAGGCUAUAAUUCAUAAGGGGUUUCGGUCAGUCACUCAAUGAAUAACUAAAUUCCGGUAUUCAAGGUAGCCCAUUCUCAUGGAUCGGCUAUAAGCUCCCCCGUAAACUCAAUGAAAAGAAGUGGAAUGAAAGAAGACAGACAUGGGCAUAGCAGCCUAAGCGGGAACUCUUCUUCUACAAAAAGCUAUCAUCCCUCGUCCGAAGCGGAAAGAACCGCCUCCGCGACGGACGAGGACGAAUGAACCCUUCUUCUUAUGGAUGGAAGCUACCCUGGUUUGCUAGGGAGAAUCCCCCAAUGCAUGAAGACCGGCUCCUCCCUUCUAUCUCCUUCCUUCAGUCGACGAAUAUGAACCGCUCCUGCGCUCUCUUACUCUUUCAUAAUCUUUGAAUAAGCUAAUCUUUGGAAUACUCACGGCCGCUCCCUUCUUGAGCACUUUCAGCCGCUUAUGAACUGAUUAUUUGCUUCGCAGUGCGAAUGAGAUCUUUCAGUAGGUUUUGCCCGCUCCGAAGUCUUAUCAAUUUAGCCUCCAGCUCUCUUAUUUCAGACUGAAGCUCGAUGAAAUUGACCCACCGGUAGGCUUUCAUUCUUUGUGCUUUCAAUUCUCACUGAAAAGGGCUAUUCUCCUUGUGGUCAGUACGAAAGGGAAGAAGAAAAGUAGAGGUUGCGAAAGCUGCUCGACCCAAAGGUUCAAAGAAUAUUGACGAAGCGGCUCGUACGUACAAAGGUUGAACUCCCUUUCGAAAGGAAACCAGCAGGCGAACUCCUCCUCAGUAGAGGCAGAGGGUCUGGUGGCAGUUUCAGGAUAAGCUAGAAGUCAAGACCCGUCCUCCGUCCUUAGUCGUAGUCUGACCGGGUUAAUAUGGAUAGUCCUUCGGACCUGUGGAACUGAUUUUUAUGGGACUUAUUUAUGGAAGGAAUCUGAUAUCUUACCUAUAGACUGGAAGGGAGCGAACUUCCCCUUGUUGGGAAAGGGGAGGCGAAAGGCUCGACUUUCAGUUAAGGAGAGGCAUCCCCCCUGGAAUCUGUACAAAGAUGGGACCAGAAGAAAGCUCGCUUUCAAUCUCUUUCGGCAGUUCCCAUUAAAUUGAGGGGCAUUAGAGGCGGAAGUUUCUGAAGUGAAUGUGCCCUCCUUUCUUUCCGUUCUUCGAUCAGAAAGAGAUCUCUUGACCAGAAAGACAUUUAUACUCUUCGUAAAGUAAGAGGAAGAUCAAUGAAAAGUUCAGAAGAAAGAAGAAAAAGAAGUCAAUGAACAAAGGCUCAAAGAAUUUGAGGAAUGAAUGAAUGCGCUUUCUUGAUUCUUACUAGUAGAAUAAGAGGAUAUAGGAAGUUAGAGAGUGAGCUGUAAGUAAUUCAGGAUGAAUUGAAUUUUGAUGCCUCCUUCUCCCUUAUCAAUAUUCUUUGAACCUCUAGUUAUAAGGAAGAAAACGACUCCAGAAACCUAUCCAGAUCAAUGAGAAAUUUGGCGGAUGAAAGUCUAGGAAUCAAAAGUCAAUGGAAGUCCCUUCUUAUGGCCGAGUCAAUAUUCUACCGGGAAAAGAAAGAAAGGUUUCAAAGCGCGGUGGCCCAGCCUCUUCUCUCUUCAUCGGUUGAUUGAGCGACGAGCUACUACCACAAAAAUAGCAAUAGAUAAAUAGAGAAAUUCGUCAGCCAAAAUAAGAAGGAAAUAUGGAAAUAGCUUUUCUCAAAAGAAGAAUUCUCAGGAUCUCCAGCAAGGCCAGCCGUUCAUUAAAGGCCAGCCCUUGGUUCGGAAUAGGGAUAGGAAGAGUCAUAAGUUGGAAGCUAGCAUCUCGGAGACCGGAAUCUUUCUAAGUUGAAUAAGCUAGAUCCGUUGAGUAAUCACUCUCAGUUGAAGAUAGAAAAUCCCGGUAUUUUAGGUGAAAAGAUUGAAUAAAGCCUUUCACAUGCAAAGGCAAAUAAGUACGAAGAAGCGGACGAAUAAGUACGAAAGCUAUCCAGGGGCAAAGGAAGAAGCGAGACCAGCGGCAGAGCCUUCUUCAUUGAAGCCUAUAACUUGAAGAUCGAAAGAGAAAGAGUCAUCACCGCAGAGGUUAGAACUCUUAGAAAGAGGAACCCCAGAGAUAGGGAGAGGCGCAGCUCAACUUCGACCUUUCCCGCCCACGUAGCGGUAUGAAUAUGAUUCCCCUAGUUUACCAAGAGCUUCUUGAAUUAGGAACUUUCUCUCUGAUGUUUGAGAACUGAAGCUCGUAGGACGUGAAGCUCUUCACUCUGCUUUCUUAGAAAGGUCUGAAUAGGAGAUCUUGAAUGAGAUCUUGCCCUUAUCAGCCUAGAGUUCUAUCCUGUAUCCUCGUAACCUCAAUAGGAGGAUUUAGUCAGUCUCAGGCGCAAAGAGCGAGGAGCAAAGCAACUCUUAGACCAGAGACGUCGACCAGGAGAGGAAAAAAGCCUCAUAGUUCUAGAGGGGAGAAGCAGGGAGGCGGACCCGAGAUCACAAAGAAAUUAUUAAGGUGAAAAAAUCAGAUAUUCUGAAAGUCAUCUGGAGCUUGAUUUUUCUCUCUAUUUAUUUAUGGAUGGGCGGUGGAGCUGCACAUUUGCACUCUUUGAACGUGAUCAUUUCUCACUCACCCGCGAAUAGAAGUCACUCUCUACACGGGAUGAAAAAUCCCCUAUCCUACUCGCUUUCUUUAUGCUUCUCUGGAUCCUUCUUCUCCUCCACCAUUGAUCCUACUUGGGAAUGCAAUUACUUAAUAAUAUAUCUUCCAUAACCUUUUGCCGAGGGCAAGAGAUCUUUCUCAUGCGCAUACCGAAGGCAUAUUCGGUCUUCAAAGCCUACUACAUGAGGACCGGGUCGACCACUUAUGAUCUCCGACUAAGAUCAAUUCCCCCAUUCAUCCUUCUCAAUCUGGACUGCGACGGAGAAGAAGAUAAGACUUUUCCGCUGACAGUCCCCUGUCUCGGUCAUUCUAGCCUGUGCCGAGACUACUUCUCCUUCUUCAGAGUCCUCCUAAUUGAGAGCCGCCCCUCUCCCUACGGUCGAGUCUCUUCGCCCCUCUCCCUACGGUCGAGUCUCUUCGCCCCUCUCCCUACGGUCGAGUCUCUUCGCCCCUCUCCUUUCAGUCGAGCGGCUUUCGCCUUCCUUCUCCUUAAAUGCCCGCUGGUGGGAAGGCUGGAGCACAACUCAUUCUCUGUCUUGCUUUGGCUACCCCAUUUAUUAAUCAUUUCCUUCUCGAUGACUCAACUGGGACCUCUGAUUCAAUGGGACAAGGGGCCUCCUUACUCCCAAUGAAAGAGGAAGUUUCCGACUGGAAUAGAAUUUGAUAGGGCGGGCACUAAAGAGUGAGUUGUGGAGAGACCACCCGGCUAGACCACGAGUUAGCGGGCACUCAGUAAUUGAGUGAUGAUUCUUUGUAAACUGAAACCUAAUAAAUACUGUGAAAAGAAUAUUGACGCUCCCUCGGCCUUCGCGAUCUGCUCCACCUCGAGUUUUUGAAUGAAGGAAAUGAAAAUCAAUCUUUGAAUCUCGCCCUUCCCUUCUAUCCUUUCCAGUCUUAUCAAUUUCAUCUCGUGGACUCCUAUUCAAUUUAUAUCGGAAUAUCAGCCUACUUCUCCCAAUUUCUGAGAUUUUGAUGAGAUUAAUCUUCUCAAAUACUUUGAGCCUCAGCCUUUACUUAAGACUGAACUGCUAGAACUCUCCCUCUCCUUCCAUCUCACCGGUCGAGUCGCGCCUUCUUCUUCUAUUUCUUUUGCAGUAGUACUAUUCUCAAAUUCUUUGAGCCUGAAUUCUUCUUUCACCGCGUAGUGGGCUUCUCAGUCUUCCUCUUCCCUCGGCCGAUACUAAUGCUUUGAGAUCCAUAUCUAACUCAAGAGUUCUAGCUUUGUCUUAAUUCUCCUUAUCAUUCCUCUUUUCCCUUUUCAAGGAAAGCAUAUAUUCAUACUUCUUGAGUGAUGUUCCGAUUUCAGUUAUUGCUUGAGGGGGUCUGACCUUUCUAAGUCUGAUUCUGUGGUAUACCUGAAUAAGUAAACUAAGGAGAAAGGGGGCUCAGCUGCUUUACUACGAGGUAAAGGGGAUAGAAUAUGCUUUUCCGAGUUUGACGAGGUGCAAAGAAUAUUGCGAGACGUUUAUAUCAGUCGACCAAAAAGUCUCGACCUAAAUAAAUGGGAGAGGAGAGAUGGCAACGGAGUUUUACGGAGUUCUAGCAGUUGAGAGAAGAAGGGAAAGGCCCAAUCGCACGGGUCUUGGUUCGGGUGAGACCAGGAAAUUCCCUCUUUAGUCAGAGGUCAAGUCCCCAGAAGAGUACAAAGGGCGCGACCGACCAGUCAUCCCCAUUCUUCUUGCAUCCGUUGAUUCAGUGGAAAAUGGGAGAGUAUGUGUCAUCUUCGCUCGUAAGUAAGCUCGAUCCUAUUUAGCCCUUAAACUAGAUUGUAAUGUCCCAAAAUUCUUCACGACGGCUAGCCCGAUAAGAAGCUCUGCGUCUAUCUCAGUUAUGGCAAAAUGCGGGAAAUCCUUUCCUUCGCUUGAGAACUUUUUUUCGGAAUUUGAGAGUGCCUUUUUUCCGCCUACUCUACUCUUAAAAGAAUCCACAGGUCGCAAUAUGCGCCUUAUCAAUGAUCUUUGCUCGUCCUUCUCCUUAAUAUUAAUAAUUGCGCUUGCCUUCUUAUGAAAAGGUAAUUAAUUGACUUCCGUACCGCUCCGACGGAGCAAAGUUCAUUUCAAAAUCAAGCUCCAGAUGAGUUGACCUAUCCAUUAAACAAGUCCGGAGGACCAGUCUCGCCCUCAGUCCUAUCCAUUAGAAGGCUCCGUGGGCCGCCCCGUGGGAUGCUUUCGGUCCUCCCCUAUCUUUGAGUGAGAGCUGCUGCUUGGUCUCGCUGCACCUCGUAUUCUUAUUGAGUGAAUUGGGUAUUGAUUUCUUCUAUAGGAAAUUUGGAAUGAGACUGAUGAAAUGGGAAAGCAGGCAUAACCCUUAUAGGUUCUUCUCCCCUAACCUAUGAUCAUUGUUCUAGCUGGUCCGAGUAAACUCAGGAAAGAGAGAGAAUUAUCUCUUUAAGAAGUGGCGGCAGUCUGCGGCAGAUCAAUCGUAAGCGAGUAGCAUAAAAAAGAGAGUCAUCAUCCAGGGGAAUGGGCCUCAUCUAUUUCUCUUUAUCUAUUGUAUAGCCCUAUUUCUCUUUAUCUAUUGGCGGUAUCAGCUUGCCAAAAGGUGCGAAGAAGUUCGAGUUUCUAUAUAUCAGGAGUCCCAGCGGCAGGAGAUCGGAAGCUAUCGGGAUCGGUUGUGGCAGAGAAGAUAAGCCUGAGCCGCCCAUUCAGUUGAGGAAGUUGCUACCUCGAAGCCUUUUCCACCCGUUGAUGGAUCUCUUUUUCUUGCUUGCCAUUCGUGCGGAUGAGAAAGAAGUUCUUUGGGAUCUAUUGAAAUAUGAUAAAUAUCUCAGCUUUUGCUAGCCUCCUUUGAGGUUAGCGCCGCGCAUUCACUCAAAGAUAGGACCACUGGUCGGUACCAGGCGAGAUUCUUAUAAGGAUAGGUUUGAAUAUCAAAAGACGUCAGAACCAGAUAGGAACCGGGGCAGGGAAUAAGCCAAGUGGAGAAAGGAUGAGAGGCCCACGUAGCGCUUAGGGGAAGUCCGAUCAAGGACGCGACUUCUCUGAACCUAAUAAAUACUGUGAAAAGAAGAUUUCCGCUUGAUUUUGCGGUUCUCACUUUUUUUCGUAGAAAGAAGAAAGUCUUCUCUCGAGGUAACUGAACUAAUAGGAGUCGGAUCUCUUUAUCAAAGCAGAAUGAGAAGGAUCGGGGGAAGCGCGAACUCAAUAGGAGAGGAGCAAGAUCCUUUUCUGGAUCGGAAGCUCAGCUCUUGACUUAUUCCCUUUUGAGACAGAACCAAGAAGAAGGACAGGGGGAGGAAGAAGAAUUAGUAGGGCCAGAUAUGGAGCGAAGCGCUAACUAUGAAGAAAAGUAGUAUCCGGCGGGGAGGAAGAGGUUAGAAUAUCGGCCGGUAACCUGGCUACAGAAGCGGAUGAAAUAAAGGGAAGACGAGUCCCCAUAUGGCACUCGGAGAGGAAGGAACCCCACCAGAGGACCGGGAAGGGGAAGAGUAAGCAAGAUGAUCAAGACUUCCAGGUCGUAUGAGAAGAAGCUAGAGGAAUCUGUCCCGGAAUAAGCUCCAGAGUCCGCGCGAACUGAUUGACCGGAUUGGAAGCUAUCCCUGAAGGGGAGGGAUAGGAAUUCUCAUCAGAGUCUUGACUAGAUCUCUUUCAUUCUCAGUUGUAGAAUAGGAGCAGGCGCAAUUCAAUAUGCGUUGACGAGACAUCAAUCGGAAUUCUCAGAAUAGGUUGAGGCUUUACCAUUGGACUGAAAACCCUUUGAACCCACAGAGCGGGAUAGGUUAGAAGAAGCUCGGAAGUAGCUCUUGGCCGAGUUGGCUCGAAUCCGUAGUAGUAGUAGCUCUUUCGCGGGCUAGGCAUUAUUGGGGCCCCGUUGCAGCUUAGUUGGAGUUAUCUUAUGAGGUAAUUGAAUAAGCCCACUCCGCCAUCUCGGACUCGCUUACCGCUCUUCAUUUGCAAAGAUGUCCUUAUCAAUGAGACGACUGAGGCUCCAAGCUAAUAUGGAUAUAAACAAGUCCUUCGGACGUCACCUGGACCCGUACGGAGGUGCAGAUGAGUUUCAUUACGUUGAAUCGGUUCCGCAAUAUUCUUUGCACGUCUGUCGAGCUCAAUUACAUCGACCCGUCCUCUUUAGAGUCCUUCGGACGUCCUCAGUCCUAUUCAACCCAUGGAAUUUCUUCUUUUCUCCUGCUUUUGAUAGAGUGAGAACAGCAGCAUAACCUCAAGCUAUCUACAUAUCCUAUCUUAAUUCAGGCAUUUAUACAAGUCUUCUUUCAUGAUCUCUUUCGUAAAGCGAGAACUCUGAAUUUAGGGUCUUUCGUCGGGUCAGAGGGUCCUUUCUUCAUUCUUUUAUGACUAACUCAUUUAAGUAGUCAGAUCUCGGAGAGAGAACGAGCGGGACCGAGUCUCAGUCAGAAAGGUAGAAAAAAUCUUCUUUGGGCCUCCUACGCUUAAGAUGGGACCGGCAAGACCCAGCAAUAUGAAAAGCUUUGAGCAAUAUUCUUUGUCACGCAUAUUUCAUCAAAGAAAGGUCCAGGGUCCGGAGUGCCAAAGAAAGGUCCAGGGUCCGGAGUCCGCAGGAUUCUUAUCCGGAGGACUAUCCAUAUGGAAGUAGGACUAUCCAUUAGAAGCAGUCCGCAGGAUUUAUCCGUAGUCCGGAGUCCGGAGUCCGCAGGAUUUAUCCGGAGUCCGGAGGAUUUAUCCGUAGGACCAUCCGUAAUUAACCGAAGUAGGACCAUCCAUAUGGGCCAAAGAAAGGUCCAGGUGAUUUAUCCGUAGGACCAUCCAUAUGGAGGGAAGUAGUCCUACGUCCGCAGUCCGCAGGGCCAAAGAAAGGUCCAGGUGAUUUAUCCGUAGGACCAUCCAUAUGGAGGGAAGUAGUCCGGAGGAUUUAUCCGUAGGACCAUCCGUAAUUAACCGAAGUAGGACCAUCCGUAAUUAACCGAAGUAGGACUAUCCAUAUUCAGGAGCGGAAUCCAGAAUAGACCUCUCUUUCUCCGGACCAGAAACUCAAAGUUUGAACAAACUAUGUGAAUUUCGAAAAUCAAAUAGGACAAUGCCUUGCAAUUUCCCGGCUUUUUUGCUUCUUUUUCAUAGUCAAUCUCAUAUUUCUAUUGAACGAUAAAAGUACUUUUUUGACUGAUUUUUCAUGAUUUCUUGCUACUUCCCUAUGGGCAAAACCUAGCAUUUCCCUCCGUCUUCAAUCUAGCAGAUUAAUCUGAAAUCUAGCUCUUCAAUCUAGCAGAUUCAUUUUGAGCUUCUUUAAUUCUCGUUAAUGAGCUCUCUUUUCUUUUCUUUUUUCUUUGAUAGUGAACUUCCACGCAAUAUUCUUUGCGCCUCUAGUAAAGCUUUUUUUGUUGCCAAAAAGAAAGGCGAGAAGACAGGUCCGGAGGCGCGCCAUAAGACAGGUCCGAAGGACUAUCCAUUAGGGGAUUGAGAAUAGCCAAUUAUAUAGAAUCUUUGACCCUCUCCUUGGGACUCCCGGAUUUCCAUACAUAUGUCUCAACUAGGCUAAUCUCAUAUUUUGCAUUUUAGUCAAAUUCUUUGAAAUGAAAAUACCUUUUAAUUAAUAAGCACUCGGUCACGACUUAUGGUGGUAUUUAAUUGAGUAUAUCUACUAACAAAUAUCUUUUUUCAUUCGGCAUCCACUACCAUUACCAUGCGUGGUACCAGCAGUUUCCACUUUUUCUAUACAGAGGAACCUCCCGAGUGGCACCUUUUGGGGGUUCAUUUUCUUCAUGAAAGCAAGAGAGUGCAACAAUCCUUUCCUUUGACACUGGUCCUGUAAACGAGUGAAAAAUGCCUUGUACAGUUUUUCUUUUCCCUUGAAGCCAGUCCAAGAGUUCAGUUCACUCGAAAGCGGCUCUUAGAUAUUUGCUUUGAACCGGUUCCGCCCCACCCCCUUAUAGUAAGUACUGGUGAGAGGAAAAGAGCGCUUCUGCCCUUUACCCAAACAGUACAAGAAUGGCAAUCCACCUAUUGGUGUGCUCCUGCCCUCAACCGACCUGAUCGUCCCAAUCCGGUUGUCCUCACUAAAAAAAGAUCCACAAUCUCUUAUCUAAUUCAUAUGAAUUUCUUAUCUAAUCUUCCUUUGCCUAGCUGCCCAUUGCUAGAACUUCCAGCGCGUCGGGGGGUUGGUGUGGUAAGGCAAGCAACUCCUCUUUCCGAAGAAGAGUGCCGAGCUAUCUUAAAGUAAAGCUCUAACGGUUAGCUAUAGGUAAAGUUCUCCCAGAGCUGGAGACAGAGGCCGCUACUCCUUCAGAAACCGGAAAUCCGCAAGGAAGGAUAGGACAGAGAAUAAGGACCUAAAGUUCUUUGUCGGAUGAGACCGAGAACCGAAAGAUGUCUAUCAAAGAGCGAGAGGGACUGACUAGACCGCUGUCAACCAGCUCUGAAGGUUGCAAAGCCUGACGAGUGCCCCUGAACGGAAGGAAGGAAAGACAGAGAGAACUUUAUCCUAGCUACCGGGGAAGGGGAGAGGAGAACAGAGAUAACCGUCAAACUACGCAAUGGAUAGUCCGAAGGCAGGAAAAAUAGGGCAAUAUUCUCAAUAUUCAAAGAGCCCUUCUUUCUCUCUCCAUUUCAUGCGCCUCAAAUUCUUUGAGCCUCUCCUCCAAAGUCAAAUUCUCUAAUGGAUAGUCAUCUGCACCUUUCAGUCGUCCGGAGGCAGGUCGCAAUAUUCUUUGCGCCUCGUUGCGCUCCUUAACAGUCCGGAGGACUAUCCCUCAAAUUCAAAGAGCCUACGGACGACUGAAAGGUGCGAAGCAAAGAGCGCGAGACUAGAGAGGAGAGGUGCAAAGAAUAUUGCGAGGAGUGCAAGGCGCAAAGAAUAUUGCCGGCCUGAGGCGCAUCAAAAAAAGGGUUGAAGAUGAGCUUGAUUUUUCAUUGAGCCUGAAGUAGAGAAACCUACAAAUAAGAGAAUACCUGCCAAAAGCUUCACCUCGGUCAACCUUUGGAAUACAGAUUGUCGAGCCGCCGACAACUCCCAGGGUUCACUAAAACAGAGGUACUCCGCGAAAGACUAUUGAGUGACCUGUCGAGCUAAUCCGACACCAAGUGGGCCGCACCUCUGAGGACUCAAUAUGAAAAAAAUCUUCGGUCGCAGAAAGUCUUUUAAGAAAAAGGCUUUCCCACUUAUUGCUCACAACAGGAUAACUGAAACCUCCACUGCAACUACCAUCGUUAGGGGCUUAGCUUACAACAGGAACUGCGGAUAUAUCUUUCUCUUUUGCCUUAAAGACAGAAGAACUAUCAUCAAUAUGGAUCAAAAUCAGUCCCACUAUUUCAACUUUGCGACUGAGUAGGCGAGUGUCCAGGUGGUCCCUCAAUAAUAAGGGAUAGCUCUGACUUUGAAAGCUAAGAAAUCUUUCUAUUCCUUGAAACUGUCUUCCCGACAGUGCUACCGCGGAGUGGGGUUGAAUCAAGCUAUUAGCGAUAUGGGAUUGAGAAUGAAUUUGAGAAUUCUAUUUCUGGUGAGAUUAGAAUAUUGUCAAACUAUGCGGGCCAAUCGGAAAUUCCUUCUUUGCCAUAAAUUGAACUCUCAAUUGGGGAUGGGUUCAGCUUCUUCUGUGUUUGGAAAUAGCGGGUGGCUGUCUUAUCCGCCCGGACAAGAAGUCAAGGUAAGCUUCCAAAGCUCCCUCCUGCCCGCUGACUGGCCACGAUAAUAAUGAAAGGAAGAGUUUGAGCCACAACUAUUUAUUAUAGUUGGCAAGGCUUUUUCGGGGACUAGCCCGCUUCCCAUUACUCGACGAGGGAAAUUCCUCGCACAUAAUUAAGGGAGCCAUUGAAAGGUGACUGAAAGACCAGAAAAAAGAAACUUACCCACCCUGAUAGAGGCAAGAAGACUUUCCGGCCAGGCCUGACUAUAACCAACCUCACAGAUCCCACUCAAUCUUUUACACCGAUGUAUCAUACUCGGAAGACCAGGUCAUCAUAAGAAAAUACUGCUAAAUCUUUCCGAAGUGAGAGAAGGCGCAAAGAUCGUGGCCCACUCCUUCGGUUAAUUACGGAUAGUCCUACGGAUAAAUCCUGCGGACGUAGGACUUCUUCUUCUUUAAAAAGAAGGGUCCAGGUGACCGUCCUUCGCAAAUUCUUUGCGCCUAACUACGGGUGCAAAGAAUAUUGCGAGUUGAAGAGCCAGCUGAAAAAGGCUAGCUAGCUAGGCUAGCGCGCAAUGGCUUUCUCUGCCUUGGGAAAGCUUCUUCAAGCUCCGCCCAACCUAUACAAGGUGCUGCUCGCUUUCUCUCAGCCACAAGUGGCUUAUUUAUGUAGUGGUCGGCAUUCCUACGUGCUCCUCCUUUCCUUGCUCACCGACUGAAUAAUCUAAAAGUGAGAAAGGGAUGUUGUCGUGAGGCUUUGGUGUAGAAGGUUGCCGGGGUCUAGGUUUAUGGAUGGAUUCAGUCAACGAAAGUCCCUCAAACUCAAUCAAGAUCAACCACUAUUUGAACCUCUCCCCUUUGAAAAGAAAGUAGGAGAAGGGGGUUCAUUUCUUAGUAAACCUCCGGUGCUGGUAAGGUCGGGACCGUGGUCGUCCGUCUCCGCUUUGCCGGCCGAUAAGAUCUUUGAGAUUGACCAGCCAGCUGGGUUGCUUUGGCUAUUCCUUUCUAUUGAAAAGGAGUCAGCUGUCUGCGCGAGUAACCUUCUGAUAGGCUUCGCUGGACGACACGGCAUUCUCGUUCAAAUAUAGGCCGGCCGUACUUGUGAUGGUUCCCAAGGAUCCAAUAUGACCACUUAGGUCUACGUUGCCACGAUAUUGUUCUAUGGAAGCGGGCGGGCAAGUUCGGCCCGGUUUUUUUUGUCUCGUAGGGGAGGGAUUGACCUUUCUAACGCAUAUUCAGUCGUACCGGCAUGGCCCCACUUUUUCUCGAUCGGAGCAUCCAGCAGCGCAACCCGGUUCUACUUGACUAAGCCCCGUGCUCGUCCAAGGAGGGAGUUUGCUUUACCCAACUCUCUUUUUGAUAAGAAGGCGGAACCCCCCGACCCAAGAUUCAUUAGUUUCUCAUGAUCAAUAAGGCAACUGCAAGCAUCUACUCCUAGAGAAAUGAAAAGCGGAGCUUUAGGCUUUACUAAUAACAAGGUAAGGCCGGGAGCUCUAGCUUUACAAGGAUAGAGCUUAGAUAGGGACCUUUCUUAUUAUGAGUAUAAGGUUUGAAAAAGGCGUAGACAAGAGAUCAAUGAACGAUCAAUGAACAAGGUGAAAGCAAUCAAAAAAGUUCAGACUCGACCGCCUUGAUUCUGCCUCCAAAAGCAUUGAACCGAAGGUGCAAAGUGCGGCUAUGAGAAAAUAGCGAGACCUGUCUCAUUGAUAAGGACAUAUAUAUUAGCUUUCUGGCUUUCUUUUCUUAUGAGAACUCUGAUGUCUCAAAGAUUCCACAGGUCCGAAGGACAGACAGGUUAAUAUGGAUAGUCCGAAGGACGGGAUUUCUUUCUCACGCAACCCCGCAUAUUUCAUUCCGCCUUCGGACCUGUCUUAUGGCACCUCUCAACAACAGUUCUUCCCGCUCAAAUUUCAUUCAGCCUCCAAAGUCAAAUUCUCUAAUGGAUAGGCCUUCUCGCAAUAUUCUUUGCGCCUUCCAGUCGCUUCGCUUCGGGCCUCCGUAGCUUAAUAUGGGGGAUGGAGGAGGACUAUUCGCUAUUCUAAUAUUUACGGUAUAAACAAGUCAAAAGGACUUUUUAUCAAUGAUCUUUGCUCCUCCGGACUACUUCCUUCCAUAUGGAUGGUCCUACGGAUAAAUCCUGCGGACUCCGGACUAUCCAUUAGAGGAGUGUGAGUGCAGAGGCAAGGACGGUUUUCAAAGCAAAGAAAGCCCUAUACAUGAAUUUCAGGCGGUCUAAAAGAGGUUUUCAAAAGUCAGACUAAUCAAUGAAAGAGGAGAAUCUUUGGAGAAUGAAGAGGUCGGCUAAUAUAUAGGUAAUAAGGAAAAGUGACCCACGGAGCGGAAUAAAGUCAAUGAACAGGUCCUCCGGACUAUCCAUAUUAACCCUUGAAGGAGAUUGAUGCCUCCAAGAACAUUCAGUUCCAUAAAGAAGUCCGCCUUUUUUUAGAGGACGAAAUUGAGUGUCGAGCUAGUAGGAAGAAAAAGAUCUUUUUUAUCUAAAGAGCGUAGUAGAAGUCUGAAUUCUGCAUUCUCUCUUUUUUUUGCGGAGCUCCUUUUUAGUGGACGCUACUUGAUUAUGGGGGGAUGAGACUCUACCCUAAUCACUUUGAUUCCAUUGACUUUGAUUCCGUCCGGAUUGCUCGCCUUCUCCGCCAUAAGAAUGAAAUUCCAUAAAGAGGUCCAAGAACAAUCAGUGGAAUUCUCACAAGUCCGACUAUCGAUGAACCCUGUAAGUCGUUCUAACCUCUCGGUUGAGUACAUCGACCCUUUCCUCUAAUACGCCCUGAUUCUAGUAGACGCGUCGACGUCUUUUGAAAGGACUUGCUUUGGUAUAGGCUUUGAAUAAGGCUCGUUCCCGGCGCUCACCUUUUUUGGCUGAAAUCGCGAAUUGGUAAAGACCCACCCCUUGUUUCAGUCAGAAUGAGUCCCCGGGACCCCGGGACAUUGGCUUCCGCCAACAGUGGACUAUUAAGGAUCGCAUCCCGCGCAUAUUCUACAUUAUAGCCUGCAACUGAUUCAGCUUCCGCUUCUGGGAGAUCAAAGGGAGCUCGAUUAGUUUCUGCUAGACGAGAAAUAAAGAACAUAACCAAUACAGGGAACAAGGGAAUACCGGACCAUAUCUGCUUUUGCGCCAUGACAAUCUCACUCGAAUUACGGGGACCUACACAUAUUAGUACAGUAUACCGGGGUCCCCGGCCAGAACCACACGUGCAAGUUUCCCUGCAUGUGGCUCGUCCGUGCUUUCCGAGGCGCUGCCUGCUGUGACUCAGCAUGGGAGAAGGGGGCGGAACUGCACACUUGAGUGUGAAGAGCACUCUGAAGUGACUGACGAAACUGAUCAUUCUUCUUAUGCUUCCGAAACAUCUGACGAAAGAUCUCAUACGAACAAGAAAGACCUAUGAAACUCUUAUUCAUGAAAUGACCUCAUUACCUCUUUGAAUGCCUUUAUCUCAAAGUUCUAGCUUGAGCUUUCUUGACGACUGGGCUGGUUCCUCGCCAACAAAUUGGAUUUCGAUCUUGGGGAAAGCCCCAGGAAAGUCUAGGUUGGCUUCCAGCUCCAUCUCGGCCGGCAUCCUGCUCUCGAGGGGGUGGAGUCCUGGAGCGAACUACUCAUUGCUGUCUUGCCCCAAUCCCUUGAAGGGCUUUUGGGGAGGAGCAUUGUUGGAGGGAAAGGCGUGGUUGACAAGCCACUUCGAGGAGGCGACUGGACUGGAGUGCUUUCAUCAAGCAUGUGGGCUGAGCCAUUCCCACCACUUGGGGUGGCCCGAUUCGGCCUGGUCGGGAAGAGAUGAAGAUAGAGACUCUUACGUUACGGGAAUCUCUUUCUAUGUUAGCGGGAGGGGGCCUUCCUAUGGUAGUCCCGCUGCGGCCUCUGACCGUCCGUCCCGUCUCAUCUUUCUUUGGCUAUACUUGGAUGUAGCCAGCCAUCUUAGCUUCACAUGAGAGAGUUAGCCUUUAAGGCUCUGCACUCAUCAGUCAGCUCGGCCCCUUUCCUAUUCCCCUUUGCCGCCUUUUAAGAGAAUAGGUCCCGUUGAAGCGGCCCGCCUUUAUGAAUCUAUACCAGCUGCCACGCACGACCCAAUAGGAACUAUCAUGAAACUCGAAAGAAAGAAGUUGAAAACAUAAGAUAUAAGUCCCAUAAAUAAGAGAGACGGACGUAGAAUAUUGCUCGGAAACUUCAGCAUUAUUAGGAGAUAGAUAGGGGAGGGUCCGAAGCCUUAAUUUGACUUCCAUUGACUUUUUCUUCCUUCCAUAAGGACUCAAACCUUUGUUCAUUGAUUCAGUCCGAAGGACUUCGCAAUAUUCUUUGCGCCUCUUUGAGCCUCCCCAUUUUUUCUUACGCCUGGAGAUACUUUCUUCUAGAGGAGAAGGCCUGAAUAUGGAUCAAAAUCAGUCCCACUAUUUCUUAAUAUGGAUAGUCCUCGAAUAUGAAUUCAUCCUCCGUUAGGCGCAAAGAAUAUUGCGUGGAACCACCCGGAGAGAAGGUUUUUUUUCCAUUAAUCAGUCCCUCUUUUCAAAGUCAGAGCUAUCCAAAAUCAUGAAGCAGAAGGCUCAAAGAAUUUGAGGAUAAGGGAUAUUGAUUCUUUGGUCCUUCGCCUAAGAAUAAGGUUCAAAGAAUAUUGAACUCAUGAAUAUGGAUCAAAAUCAGUCCCACUAUUUCUUAAUAUGGAUAGUCCUUCGCAAAUUCUUUGCGCCUAACGGAGGGAUAAAAACAAGUGAAAAAUAAUGGAAAUAAGGGUCCUAAAGUGGGGCGCAGUUGAGGAGGCUCCAUAAGAGAGGUCUAUUGUAGGUCGUCCUUCUCCUUAAUAAGUGGGGAUCUGGACGGGUCCGACCUAUCCACUGAAAGUAGCGGAGUAGUCUUGUCUUCUUCUUCUUUUAGAUAUUAUGUCCUUGAACUUCAAACCCACUAUUUAGUCUCCCACGGGGCGGUUUUCAAAGCAAAGAAACCUAUCCAGCGGAAGAAGUAUGAAAAGAGAAAAGGAAGAAAGAGAAAGCUAAGCUAAUAUGGAUAUAAAGAACGACUAAGGACGGAGGACGGAAUCAAAAGGCAGUGAGAAGGCGCGAAGCGACUGGCAAAAAUAUCCAUCAGACUCGACCGCGUAGAAGGCGCAAAGAAUAUUGCGAGAAACCUUAUUAUCGAAUAUUGCGAGGUCCUUUUUACCUCUUUUAUCCAAAAUAUUAGUUCCAUUCUAAUCGAUAAUUCUUUGAGCCUCCGGCUUAAAUAAAGCGAGU
rnacentral:lncRNA from 1 species